CAAGGUUUCCGUAGGUGAUCUGCGGAAGGAUCAUUG
rnacentral:rRNA from 1 species